GAUGAACGCUGGCGGCGUGCCUAAUACAUGCAAGUCGAGCGAACGGACGAGAAGCUUGCUUCUCUGAUGUUAGCGGCGGACGGGUGAGUAACACGUGGAUAACCUACCUAUAAGACUGGGAUAACUUCGGGAAACCGGAGCUAAUACCGGAUAAUAUUUUGAACCGCAUGGUUCAAAAGUGAAAGACGGUCUUGCUGUCACUUAUAGAUGGAUCCGCGCUGCAUUAGCUAGUUGGUAAGGUAACGGCUUACCAAGGCAACGAUGCAUAGCCGACCUGAGAGGGUGAUCGGCCACACUGGAACUGAGACACGGCCCAGACCCCUAGGGGAGGCAGCAGUAGGGAAUCUUCCGAAAUGGGCGAAAGCCUGACGGAGCAACGCCGCGUGAGUGAUGAAGGUUUUCGGAUCGUAAAACUCUUUUAUUAGGGAAGAACAAAUGUGUAAGUAACUGUGCACAUUUUGGCGGUCCCUAAUCAGAAAGCCACGGCUAACUACGU
rnacentral:rRNA from 1 species